AAAAAUUUUGCUUGCAGAUUAGCAAAUUAUUCAUUGAAAUUUUGACACCCUUUUAUUUGUUUGUGAGCUUCUAGCAAGUUACACGUGAUGUGAGUCCCAUUGGACUUGUUAGUUUGAAUGCUAAACUGGGUUUUGAUCCAAUCACACUGGGAUUUCAUGAAUCAGUGCAUGCAAUUCAGUUGGCUCACUGUCUGAAUAUAUGGAUUUGGCUUUUGUGCCUCCAUUGUAUCCACCAAAAGGAAACAGAGCCAUCUAUGAGGUUAAGCCUUUUAGCUCUGCCCUUCAUAGAAAUCUGUACUCUCAGAGAACUUCUCCAUGUUUAGCAACUGCAGCUACCCAAACCAGUCAGGCAUCUGAAUUUGUGGUAGAGAACAAAAAGCAUGAUUUAUUGAGAGCUAUCCUAGAGACAAAACGAGGACUUGUUGCAACUGCUGACCAACGCUCUUCCAUUGAGGAGGCUCUUGUGAGUGUGGAGGGUUAUAACAUGGGUUUGCCAAUUGAUCUCGUAAAGUUGGAUGGGACAUGGCGCCUGCAGUAUACUUCUGCCCCUGAUGUUCUCAUUCUUUUCGAAGCUGCUGCUAGACUUCCUUUCUUUCAGGUUGGGCAAAUUUUUCAAAAAUUUGAGUGCCGAGAUCAAUCAAAUGGGGGUGUCAUCCGUAAUGUCGUUCGAUGGAGUAUUCCAACCUUGUUAGAGGAACAAGAAGGUGCCACUCUGCUUGUAUCUGCAAAAUUUGACAUAGUUUCUGCGCGUAAUAUCUACCUUCAGUUUGAAGAGAUAACUAUUCAAAAUAUAAAUGUCAGUGAAGAGCUGCAAGCUCUAAUAGCUCCAGCAAUACUGCCACGAUCAUUUUUAAGCCUACAGAUCUUGCAGUUUAUCCGCACUUUCAGAGCUCAGAUCCCUGUAGGUAACCCAGGAAGACAAUCAGUGGGAGGACUAUAUUACCUUUCUUAUUUGGAUGAUAAUAUGCUUUUGGGUCGUGCCGUUGGUGGUGGAGGAGUAUUCGUGUUUACUAGAGCUCAACCUCUUGAAUGAUAAGGGCUAAGUUAUUCAACUUAUCAUCUACUGCCGGUCAGCAUUUCUACUCAAAAGCAUUGGUUUUGGAGGAAAUAGCAACAUGAGGACUACAAUGAUGAGAUAAAUCAUGUGCUGAGUCUACAAUGAUGAUAAUUGAUAGCGUUUGAGAAGAUCCUGCAACUAUUUUGGAGUAAUAACUGAAGUAAAACCCUUUGGUACUACCAAAGGUCCAAAACUAUAUGUAUUUUUCUAUUUCAGAUGGGGAUUCACGCAGCUAGAGCCUUUAACUACAAUUAAGUUUUAUUUAUUGAGAUUUGAGGUUGCAACA